rnacentral:rRNA from 1 species
AUACGUAGGGAGCGAGCGUUACGCGGAAUUACUGGGCGUAAAGAGCACGUAGGCGGUGACGUAAGUCAGAUGUGAAAUCCCUCGGCUCAACCGAGGAACUGCAUCUGAAACUGCGUUACUAGAGUGCGGGAGGGGAGAGUGGAAUUCCAGGUGGAGCGGUGAAAUGCGUAGAUAUCUGGAGGGACGCCGGAGGCGAAAGCGACUCUCUGGUCCGCAACUGACGCUGAGGUGCGAAAGCUAGGGGAGCAAACAGGAGUAGAAACCCCGGUAGUCC